UACGUAGGGUGCAGGCGUUAAUCGGAAUUACUGGGCGUAAAGCGUGCGCAGGCGGUUUCUUAAGUCAGAUGUGAAAGCCCCGGGCUUAACCUGGGAACUGCGUUUGAAACUGGGAGACUAGAGUGUGGCAGAGGGGGGUGGAAUUCCACGUGUAGCAGUGAAAUGCGUAGAUAUGUGGAGGAACACCGAUGGCGAAGGCGGCGUCCUGGACCAACACUGACACUGAUGAGCGAAAGCCAGGGGAGCAAACGGG
rnacentral:rRNA from 1 species